AUUGAACGCUGGCGGCAGGCCUAACACAUGCAAGUCGGACGGUAGCACAGAGGAGCUUGCUCCUCGGGUGACGAGUGGCGGACGGGUGAGUAAUGUCUGGGGAUCUGCCCGAUAGAGGGGGAUAACCACUGGAAACGGUGGCUAAUACCGCAUAACGUCGCAAGACCAAAGAGGGGGGCCUUCGGGCCUCUCACUAUCGGAUGAACCCAGAUGGGAUUAGCUAUUAGGCGGGGUAACGGCCCACCUAGGCGACGAUCCCUAGCUGGUCUGAGAGGAUGACCAGCCACACGGGAACUGAGACACGGUCCAGACUCCUACGGGAGGCAGCAGUGGGGAAUAUUGCACAAUGGGCGCAAGCCUGAUGCAGCCAUGCCGCGUGUAUGAAGAAGGCCUUCGGGUUGUAAAGUACUUUCAGCGGGGAGGAAGGCGAUGUGGUUAAUAACCGCAUUGAUUGACGUUACCCGCAGAAGAAGCACCGGCUAACUCCGUGCCAGCCGCCGCCGUAA
rnacentral:rRNA from 1 species